rfam:Ailuropoda melanoleuca scaffold4223_46, whole genome shotgun sequence.
GCCUGGCUGGCUCAGUCAAUAGAGCAUGGGACUUUUGAUCUUGGGGUCAUGGGUUCAAGCCCCAUGUUGGGAG